UGUCGAUGCCUUUCGGGGCAUUUCCUCCCUAGUCUUUGGCCGCGUUCGUAUUGUUCGAGCGCGGCUCUUUUUAUCUGCCU
rnacentral:sRNA from 1 species